rnacentral:rRNA from 1 species
GACGAACGCUGGCGGCGUGCCUAAUACAUGCAAGUAGGACGAGUUGCGAACGGGUGAGUAACGCGUGGUAACCUACCUAUUAGAGGGGGAUAACUAUUGGAAACGGUAGCUAAUACCGCAUACCAUCGGAUGUGCCCAGAUUGGAUUAGCUAGUAGGUGGGGUAACGGCUCCCCUAGGCGACGAUCCCUAGCUGGUCUGAGCGGAUGACCAGCCACACUUGAACUGAGACACGGUCCAGACUCCUACGGGAGGCAGCAGUGGGGAAUAUUGCACAAUGGGGGAAACCCUGAUGCAGCAACGCCGCGUGCGGGAUGACGGCCUUCGGGUUGUAAACCGCUUUCAGCCAUGACGCGGUAGUGGCAGAAGAAGCACCGGCUAACUACGUGCCAGCAGCCGCGGUAAUC